GACGAACGCUGGCGGCGUGCUUAACACAUGCAAGUCGAACGGUGAAGCGCUUUCCUUUUUGGUUGGUGUGGAUGAGUGGCGAACGGGUGAGUAACACGUGAGUAACCUGCCCCCUUCUUCUGGAUAACCGCAUGAAAGUGUGGCUAAUACGGGAUAUUCUGCGCCUGCUGCAUGGUGGGUGUGGGAAAGAUUGUGCCUUUGGGUGUUUUCGGUGGGGGAUGGGCUCGCGGCCUAUCAGCUUGUUGGUGGGGUGAUGGCCUACCAAGGCGGUGACGGGUAGCCGGCCUGAGAGGGUGGACGGUCACACUGGGACUGAGACACGGCCCAGACUCCUACGGGAGGCAGCAGUGGGGAAUAUUGCACAAUGGGCGCAAGCCUGAUGCAGCGACGCCGCGUGAGGGAUGGAGGCCUUCGGGUUGUGAACCUCUUUCGCCAGUGAAGCAGGCCUGCUCCUUGUGGGUGGGUUGACGGUAGCUGGAGAAGAAGCGCCGGCUAACUACGUG
rnacentral:rRNA from 1 species